UGGGGAAUAUUGCACAAUGGGGGAAACCCUGAUGCAGCGACGCCGCGUGAGCGAAGAAGGUUUUCGAAUCGUAAAGCUCCGUCCUAUGGGAAGAUAAUGACGGUACCAUAGGAGGAAGCCCCGGCUAACUACGUGCCAGCAGCCGCGGUAAUACGUAGGGGGCAAGCGUUGUCCGGAAUCACUGGGCGUAAAGGGUUCGCAGGCGGAAAUGCAAGUCAGUUGUGAAAGGCAGAGGCUCAACCUCUGUAAGCAAUUGAAACUGUAUUUCUUGAGAUGUGGAGAGGCAAGUGGAAUUCCUAGUGUAGCGGUGAAAUGCGUAGAUAUUAGGAAGAAUACCGGUGGCGAAGGCGACUUGCUGGACACAAACUGACGCUGAGGAACGAAAGCGUGGGUAGCAAACAGG
rnacentral:rRNA from 1 species